rnacentral:tRNA from 1 species
AGAGGCUUAGGUUAACACUAGACCCCGGGCCUUCAAAGCCCUCAGCGGGAGUGAGAAUCU